CGCCUGUUUAUCAAAAACAUCUUUUCUUGUUAGUUUUUGAAGUAUAGCCUGCCCGCUGAUUUUAGGUUGAAGGGCCGCGGUAUUUUGACCGUGCAAAGGUAGCAUAAUCAUUAGUUCUUUAAUUGUGAUCUGGUAUGAAUGGCUUGACGAGGCAUGGGCUGUCUUGGAUUGGGAUUGUUUAUUGAAUUUGGUUUUUGAGUUAGAAUUCUUAAAUGUUUUUAUGGGACGAGAAGACCCUAUAGAGUUUAACAUUUAUUUAUACAGCUUGUUUUGGUUUGUUGUGUAGUUGCUUUGUGUUAAUGUGUUUUGUUGGGGUGAUGGGAAGAAUUUUCUUAACUCUUCUUUAUUUUGGUAUAUUGAUUUAUGUUGGUUUUGAUCCAUUUAUUUUGAUUAUAAGAUUAAAUUACCUUAGGGAUAACAGCGUAAA
rnacentral:rRNA from 1 species